GAAAUGCGAUAAGUAGUGUGAAUUGCAGAAUUCAGUGAAUCAUCGAGUCUUUGAACGCACAUUGCGCCCCCUGGUAUUCCGGGGGGCAUGCCUGUCCGAGCGUCAUUGCUGCCCUCAAGCACGGCUUGUGUGCUGGGCUUCCGUCCCUGGCAACGGGGACGGGCCCAAAAGGCAGUGGCGGCACCAUGUCUGGUCCUCGAGCGUAUGGGGCUUUGUCACCCGCUCCCGUAGGUCCAGCUGGCAGCUAGCCUCGCAACCAAUCUUUUUAACCAGGUUGACCUCGGAUCAGGUAGGGAUACCCGCUGAACUUAAGC
rnacentral:misc_RNA from 1 species